AUCUAUUAGCUUAUGGUCAUAUAUUUAUUUGGAUUAUUGGACAUUGUAAAGAAAAGCUAACUCCAGAGCUGAUCAGGAAGACGAUGAUAGUCAUGAUACCACGUCCGAGGAAGAGUCAGUAAUUGGAUUCUUCAGUGCAUUUGUUUGGUUGGUGGGCAUGACUGCUAUCAUUGCUCUUUUAUUUGAAUAUAUCAUAGGUACAACAGAGGUAUGGUAUCUGAUCUUUCAAGUGUCUGUGCCGCCACUUAGAUGGAGCACCUACUUUAUUUCUAAAGCUGGGGGACAAGAGCAAGUAGUGGGCACAUGUCAGUUACAGAUACUUCACAAAAUGAGACAUUGGAGGUUGGACCUGGGAAUUUGAAGAUGCCCUUUUCAUCAACAUCUAGACAACUGAAAUGUAUGACGAAUUAUAGAACAAGGAUGAGUUGCAUUUUCUUUCCUGAUUACAAGCUCCUGGGUUAAUUAGCUUCAAAGUUUCUUGUAAAUCGGGCUUCUUUGACAUAUAUAACUCCAGAAUCUAGGCCUUGUAAUUAAUUAAAACUUUACAUAUGCUAUCCAUUGGAUUCCAGCACUCCUUGCCAUGUCAUUCAUACCCUUUUACAUGGUUAUUGCUAUGUUUAUAACUCUCGUAAAUGGUAACAUGCCUACCCAGGUGAAAGAUUUGGAUGUGGAACUUGAAAGUACUAAGUAGAAAAGUAAACAAAACCUGCAACAAGCCAUCUUAAUUGAAAGGGAAAGAGUUACUCAAAUGUAGUGGGAUAUGGAAGAACUUCGUAGGAUGUAUUUGGAGAUGGAGUUGAAGCUCAAAUUCGAACAGGAUGAAAAGAUUCGUUCGGAGUUGGCAAAAGUGUCUGCCAUUCAUGAGGAGCUGUUGCUAAGGAAUUAGAUGUUGCAAAAGAACAACUUAAGAACCUGCAGAAACAUCAAGAAGAGCUAGAAAUGAAAUCAAAAGAGGAUAUUAAACUUCUUGUUAAAGAAGUUAAACAUGUUAGAUUGGAAAGUUUUAGGAGAGACUUGAGCAAAGUGAAGUAUUGUUUAUGUA